AACAAACGCUGGCGGCGUGCCUAAUACAUGCAAGUCGAACGGGGAAAGUAGCAAUAUGAGUACUAGUGGCGCACGGGUGAGUAACGCGUGGGUAUCUGCCUUGGAGUGGGGGAUAACAAGUCGAAAGAUUUGCUAAUACCGCAUAAGACCACUUUUAUUAGUGGUAAAAGAUUUAUCGCUUCAAGAUGAGCCUGCGUAAGAUUAGCUAGUUGGUAGGGUAAUGGCCUACCAAGGCGAUGAUCUUUAACUGGUCUGAGAGGAUGACCAGUCACACUGGAACUGAGACACGGUCCAGACUCCUACGGGAGGCAGCAGUAGGGAAUAUUGCGCAAUGGGGGAAACCCUGACGCAGCGACGCCGCGUGAGCGAUGAAGGCCUUCGGGUCGUAAAGCUCUGUCGUAUGGGAAUAAACAAAUGAAUGUACCAUGCAAGAAAGGAUCGGCUAACUUCGUGCCAGCCGCCGCAGUAA
rnacentral:rRNA from 1 species